UACGGAGGGGGCGAGCGUUGUUCGGAAUCAUUGGGCGUAAAGGGCGCGUAGGCGGUCGGGUAAGUCGGUUGUGAAAUCCCCUGGCUUAACCAGGGAAGUGCGUCCGAAACUACCUGACUAGAGGCCGGGAGAGGAGAGUGGAAUUCCCAGUGUAGCGGUGAAAUGCGUAGAUAUUGGGAGGAACACCGGUGGCGAAGGCGGCUCUCUGGACCGGUUCUGACGCUGAGGCGCGAAAGCUAGGGGAGCAAACAGG
rnacentral:rRNA from 1 species